rnacentral:rRNA from 1 species
UACGAAGGGGGCGAGCGUUGUUCGGAAUUACUGGGCGUAAAGGGCGCGCAGGCGGCCCUUGAAGUCAGGCGUGAAAGCCCCGGGCUCAACCUGGGAGGUGCGCUUGAUACUCGAGGGCUUGAGUGCGGGAGAGGAGAGUGGAAUUCCCAGUGUAGAGGUGAAAUUCGUAGAUAUUGGGAGGAACACCAGUGGCGAAGGCGGCGAUCUGGGAAGAUACUGACGCUGAGGUGCGAAAGCGUGGGGAGCAAACAGG